GCUCGCUAUAGUUCAGCGGUAGAACGCCCCAGUCCGAGUGAUCGACAUAAUGGGAAGAUCGGGGGUUCGAAUCCCUCUGGUGGCA